rnacentral:rRNA from 1 species
AACACCUGCAUUAUUUGACGUUACCUACAGAAGAAGCACCGGCUAACUCCGUGCCAGCAGCCGCGGUAAUACGGAGGGUGCGAGCGUUAAUCGGAAUUACUGGGCGUAAAGACGCAUGCAGGCGGCCUGUUAAGUCAGAUGUGAAAGACCCGGGGCGUUAACCUCGGAAUUGUCAUUUGAAACUAGGCAGGCUAGAGUCUUGUAGAGGGGGGUAGGAAUUUCAGGUGUAGCGGUGAAAUAGCGUAGAGAUCUGAAGGAAUACCAGUGGCGAAGGCGGCCCCCUCGGACAAAGACUGACGCUCAGAUGCGAAAGCGUGGGGAGCAAACAGGAUUAGAUACCCUGGUAG